CACAAAGAGUUGGACAUGACUGAGCAACUUCACCUUCACGUUCAUGUUCACGCUGACUUUGAGAUUGUAAUGGGUGGUGGUGCAUGGCCGUUCUUAGUUGGUGGAGCGAUUUGUCUGGUUAAUUCCGAUAACGAACGAGACUCUGGCAUGCUAACUAGUUACGCGACCCCCGAGCGGUCGGCGUCCCCCAACUUCUUAGAGGGACAAGUGGCGUUCAGCCACCCGAGAUUGAGCAAUAACAGGUCUGUGAUGCCCUUAGAUGUCCGGGGCUGCACGCGCGCUACACUGACUGGCUCAGCGUGUGCCUACCCUACGCCGGCAGGCGCGGGUAACCCGUUGAACCCCAUUCGUGAUGGGGAUCGGGGAUUGCAAUUAUUCCCCAUGAACGAGGAAUUCCCAGUAAGUGCGGGUCAUAAGCUUGCAUUGAUUAAGUCCC
rnacentral:ncRNA from 1 species